rnacentral:rRNA from 1 species
GAUGAACGCUGGCGGCGUGCCUAAUACAUGCAAGUCGAGCGAACAGACGAAGAGCUUGCUCCUCUGACGUUAGCGGCGGACGGGUGAGUAACACGUGGAUAACCUACCUAUAAGACUGGGAUAACUUCGGGAAACCGGAGCUAAUACCGGAUAAUAUAUUGAACCGCAUGGUUCAAUAGUGAAAGACGGUUUUGCUGUCACUUAUAGAUGGAUCCGCGCCGCAUUAGCUAGUUGGUAAGGUAGCGGCUUACCAAGGCAACGAUGCGUAGCCGACCUGAGAGGGUGAUCGGCCACACUGGAACUGAGACACGGUCCAGACUCCUACGGGAGGCAGCAGUAGGGAAUCUUCCGCAAUGGGCGAAAGCCUGACGGAGCAACGCCGCGUGAGUGAUGAAGGUCUUCGGAUCGUAAAACUCUGUUAUUAGGGAAGAACAAAUGUGUAAGUAACUAUGCACGUCUUGACGGUACCUAAUCAGAAAGCCACGGCUAACUACGUG